UUAGCUCUUGAAGUGUAGUCACGAGAAGUGUGUUCUUUUAAUGUGCCCUUUUAGAAACACUGUUUUCUUUGGAGAGUGUGCUGCUGUCCUCUGCAGCACCAGCUCGUUACUGUUCAUCAUUGUUUACAUGUACUGCGUGUAUUGGAUGUGGACGCUGGAGGAGGAUGUGUCCUAAUGAAUACCCUGUCUCCGUGGUGAGAACCUGAGUUAUUCUCCAGAGAAAGCUACGUUUCCUUCUCCCCGACGAUCGCAGGGCCUGAGUACCGGGGGCAGAGGAUUCUUAUUUGGGUGACGGUAUCUUUUUCACCGUGUGCAGUGCUUGGAAUUAACACCCCUGUGUGUGUGUGUGUGUGUGUGCGUGAGCACAGUGCAGUGGUUCUGCACCCGUCGGUGGUACGCUACGACUCCCUGCCUCGGUGUCUCUUGUCCUUGUUUAGACCUGCUGCUAAACCUCUAAGGGUUCAUUGAAUUUGGACAAAGUGUCCUAUAUCCUUUUUAUA